rnacentral:rRNA from 1 species
UACGGAGGGGGCUAGCGUUGUUCGGAAUUACUGGGCGUAAAGCGCACGUAGGCGGCUUUGUAAGUCAGAGGUGAAAGCCUGGAGCUCAACUCCAGAACUGCCUUUGAGACUGCAUCGCUUGAAUCCAGGAGAGGUCAGUGGAAUUCCGAGUGUAGAGGUGAAAUUCGUAGAUAUUCGGAAGAACACCAGUGGCGAAGGCGGCUGACUGGACUGGUAUUGACGCUGAGGUGCGAAAGCGUGGGGAGCAAACAGGAUUAGAUACCCCCGUAGUCC